GUCGUACAAUAUUUGACUUUACGAACUAAAAUCGAAGGUCGCCUUGGCCGAAACGCCAGGCGAAAUGCAGAAUAUAACUUUCUUCGACCAAUGCAGGUUUUGUGUCUGAAACAUGCUCUCAGUGGGGAUACACUUGCAGUAUUGCCCACUGGAUAUGGGAAAAGUCUCAUUUUUGAGCCGUUGCCACUGAUGAAAUCGAAGACAUCCGGGAUCUCAAUCUCUGGCCCCUGCGUCAUAUCUAUUUAUAUCUGUGGGUGAUGCCUGACCUAAGAUUUUUUAUCAAGAGUCGUCAGGGAAUCUUGAGGCAGGGAACCAGACUUUUUUCGCCCAGACCUUUUUUCCCACAAAAUUCGAUGUUGCUGUAACCACACGGUGGAACGUUUUGUCAAAAGGGUUUGUAGAUCAAAGAUUAAUCGUUUAUGCACGAUUAGGCCUAGGUCUUGCCCACAGACCUCUAGAAUCCGACCUAUCGGAGAGCUUCUGCGAUAGCGCACUCGACUUCCACUUAAUUUAAUACGUCACCUUUAGGGAAUAGCAAAGACGGUAAUCAUUACAAGGCCGAUUCAAUAAUGCUUUUUACAAUGUAAAUUCAGAUGUUUGUUGACCUGAGACUCCAGUAGUAACCUGCUGUCAUGGAUACCGCAGCUGAAGUGGAAGUAAUGUCUCCCAGUGACAAGGCAGUGGUCCACAGACCGAGACGGAUCACUGUCGAGCCGGUGCUGUUUCUGCUGUUCUUUGUACAAGCGGGCAUGAUCACGCUGCGCAGCCAGUACACAGAGCACCGGUUGGCUCAGCGCUACAACUACACAUUGCCAGGAGACAACGCCACAACUUGCGCCAACACUAGCACCAAGGACCCCAUGCAGGUCAAGAUCGAGACAGAAACUGCCACCUGGUCCAUGUACAUGGAGAGCAUGUCUACGCUCCCGCCGAUGGCGACUGCGCUAGUCCUGGGCACGCUCAGUGACUUCACGGGUCGGCGGCCCAUGCUCAUUGUUGGCGCGACUGGGCACAUGAUCGCGGCGACAGUGUGCUUCCUGGUGGCCUAUUUCAAUUGGCCCCUGGCGGUUCUAUUGGGUGGGGAAGCUGUGCUGGGCGUGUGCGGAGACACCGCCCUCCUGACAGCGGUGAGCUUUUCAUAUGUCGCCGACAUCACAGCAGAGCAUGCUCAGAGACAGCGGAGCUUUCGGUUUGUCGUCAACGACCUCAUGACCCAUCUCGGUCUGGGAGUCUCCUUCCUGUCCAUCAACGUGGCCCUGCAGAAAACCAACAACUACUGGCUGGUCUACGCCAUCCUCCUCGUUCCAGCUCUCUUAGCUCUUCUGUAUGUGACCCUGCCAUGCAUCAUCCGCGAGACUGUACAAAGGCGACCGGUCUCUUGCAGCAUCUUCAAGGACCUGCUGCUCAGCAUCUUCCGGCUCUUCAGAAACAACGUCAAUGGCCGGCGUUGGAAGCUCCUCCUGUUGCUGCUCUGUCAGUUCCUCUACGAUUCAGUCUACGAGUCGCUGUUCGGCGUGAUCACAAUCUACGGCCUAGGGGCUCCAUUUUGUUGGCCCCACACAGUCGUUGGCAUGUUUGGUGUGAUCAACUCCAUAAGUCCCGCCAUUGGCUCAGUGUUUGGCAUCAAGCUGCUCUCCCCGUAUAUGUCAGAGUUCAGCCUGGUGAUCGUGGGCUUCAUGUCUGGCAUCGGCCUCUUGCUCUCCACGGCUAUCGCUACCACCAAUGCCUUCCUGGUCUACGUUGCACCUGCCCUGGGUCUUCUACGCGUCCUGUCAACCUCAGUCCUCAAGUCACUCAUGUCCAAGACCGUCAGCAAAGAAGAGCAGGGUGCCCUGUUUGGCUGUGUGGCUGUCAUCGUCAGCAUAGCCCGCUCUGUGUCGCCGUUCUUCCUCAACGAGGUGUAUUCGGUCAUGGUCAGGAUCCACCUACCAGCCCUCACGUUUUGCGUGGCUAUCGGCGUUCUGGUCAUUGCAAUUUUGCUUGUGACACUUAUCCAAAGUUGGCAGUAUUGGCAGCCCAGGGCAGGCUACGCCUCCCUGCAGGGAGAGGACAGGGCAGUCCGUUGCAACUGACACCCCCAAGAACUGGUGGAGCCAUCCCUCACCCAAAGUAAAGGGAGUACUUUCUCGUCAUAUGAAGUUGUGAUUCCAUGUUUACGCACAAAUCUACGGAGGCUGGUUGACAGUGGAUUGCGUAUGACGUGCCACAUCUCUGAGUUAAUGGCGACCAGGGCAGAAGCUCAGGGUGACACAAAACCAAGGGUCUUGACAAACACAGACGAGCAACUACA
rnacentral:misc_RNA from 1 species